CUACGGGAGGCAGCAGUCGAGAAGCUUCGGCAAUGGACGAAAGUCUGACCGAGCGACGCCGCGUGAGCGAUGAAGGCCCUAGUGGUCGUAAAGCUCUGUCAGGAGGGAAUAGAUACCUGUGGCUAAUACCCGCAGGGGCUGAAGGUACCUCCAGAGGAAGCACCGGAUAACUACGUGCCAGCAGCCGCGGUAAUACGUAGGGUGCAAACGUUGUUCGGAUUCACUGGGUAUAAAGGGUUCGUAGGCGGACCUAUAAGUCAGAGGUGAAAGCCAACGGCUCAACCGUUGAACUGCCUCUGAUACUGUAGGUCUUGAGUCCGUUAGGGGAUGGCGGAAUUCCUGGUGUAGCGGUGAAAUGCGUAAAUAUCAGGAGGAACACCGGUGGCGAAGGCGACCAUCUGGGACGGAACUGACGCUGAGGAACGAAAGCUAGGGUAUCAAACGGGAUUAGAUACCCUAGUAGUC
rnacentral:rRNA from 1 species